AGCAGCCGCGGUAAUUCCAGCUCCAAUAGCGUAUAUUAAAGUUGUUGCAGUUAAAAAGCUCGUAGUUGAAUUUCGGGGUCAGCAAGUUGGUCGUGCCACCGGUAUGCACUGGCUUUGCUGAUUCCUCCUUCUUGUAGAACCGUAAUGCCAUUAAGUUGGUGUUGCGGGGAAACAGGACUGUUACUUUGAAAAAAUUAGAGUGUUUAAAGCAGGCUAAGGCUUGAAUACAUUAGCAUGGAAUAAUGAAAUAGGACGACGAUCCUAUUUUGUUGGUUUCUAGGAUUGACGUAAUGAUUAAUAGGGAUAGUUGGGGGCAUUAGUAUUCAAUUGUCAGAGGUGAAAUUCUUGGAUUUAUUGAAGACUAACUACUGCGAAAGCAUUUGCCAAGGAUGUUUUCAUUAAUCAGGAACGAAAGUUAGGGGAUCGAAGACGAUCAGAUACCGUCGUAGUCUUAACCAUAAACUAUGCCGACUAGGGAUCGGACGAUGUUAACUUUUCUCGACUCG
rnacentral:rRNA from 1 species